GAGGGAAUCUCCACCUGCCUCUGGAUGAUACUUACCCGCAUACAGCAGCAUUGGAACUCUGUUCUUUGGGCAUUCUGAUCCUCCAGGUCGUUUCUUUAGAUUCUAGUAAUCACACCAUCCAGUAUAUAUAAAGAAAUGAGGAUCAACAGCAACAUACAAAAAAGAAAGAAAGAAACUGAAAUAACUAUUUGCAAUCCUCUGUUUUUUAGUAUAUUCUCAUCAGAUAAUGAAAAUUCUCCCCACAUGAUUCCCAGUUAUUCACUUCUAAAAUUUAACUCUAAAACAAAACAG